GUAGUCAUAUGCUUGUCUCAAGGAUUAAGCCAUGCAUGUCUAAGUAUAAGCGAUUAUACCGUGAAACUGCGAAUGGCUCAUUAAAUCAGUUAUCGUUUAUUUGAUAGUACCUUACUACUUGGAUAACCGUGGUAAUUCUAGAGCUAAUACAUGCUGAAAACCCCAACUUCGGAAGGGGUGUAUUUAUUAGAUAAAAAACCAAUGCCCUUCGGGGCUCCUUGGUGAUUCAUAAUAACUUCUCAGAUCGCAUGGCCUUGCGCCGGCGACGGUUCAUUCAAAUUUCUGCCCUAUCAACUUUCGAUGGUAAGGUAUUGGCUUACCAUGGUUUCAACGGGUAACGGGGAAUUAGGGUUCGAUUCCGGAGAGGGAGCCUGAGAAACGGCUCCCACAUCCAAUGAAGGCAGCAGGCGCGCAAAUUACCCAAUCCCGACACGGGGAGGUAGUGACAAUAAAUACCGAUACAGGGCUCUUUUGGGUCUUGGAAUUGGAAUGAGUACAAUUUAAACCUCUUAACGAGGAACAAUUGGAGGGCAAGUCUGGUGCCAGCAGCC
rnacentral:rRNA from 1 species